GAUGAACGCUGGCGGCGUGCCUAAUACAUGCAAGUCGAGCGAACAGAUGAGGAGCUUGCUCCUCUGACGUUAGCGGCGGACGGGUGAGUAACACGUGGAUCACCUACCUAUAAGUCUGGGAUAACUUCGGGAAACCGGAGCUAAUAACGGAUAAUAUAUUGAACCGCAUGGUUCAAUAGUGAAAGACGGUUUUGCUGUCACUUAUAGAUGGAUCCGCGCCGCAUUAGCUAGUUGGUAAGGUAACGGCUUACCAAGGCAACGAUGCGUAGCCGAGCUGAGAGGGUGAUCGGCCACACUGGAACUGAGACACGGUCCAGACUCCUACGGGAGGCAGCAGUAGGGAAUCUUCCGCAAUGGGCGAAAGCCUGACGGAGCAACGCCGCGUGAGUGAUGAAGGUCUUCGGGUCGUAAAACUCUGUUAUUAGGGAAGAACAAAUGUGUAAGUAACUAUGCACGUCUUGACGGUACCUAAUCAGAAAGCCACGGCUAACUACGUG
rnacentral:rRNA from 1 species